rnacentral:miRNA from 10 species
UAUUAGGCUGGUGCAAAAGUAAUUGCGGUUUUUGCCAUUUAGCGUUUUUAAUUAAAAAUAAAGGCAAAAACCACAAUUACUUUUGUGCCAACCU